UACAGAGGGGGCAAGCGUUGUUCGGAAUUACUGGGCGUAAAGGGCUCGUAGGCGGCCAACUAAGUCGGACGUGAAAUCCCCAGGCUCAACCUGGGAACUGCGUCCGAUACUGGAUGGCUUGAAUUUGGGAGAGGGAUGCAGAAUUCCAGGUGUAGCGGUGAAAUGCGUAGAUAUCUGGAGGAAUACCGGUGGCGAAGGCGGCAUCCUGGACCGACAUUGACGCUGAUGAGCGAAAGCCAGGGGAGCAAACGGG
rnacentral:rRNA from 1 species